rnacentral:rRNA from 1 species
UACGUAGGUGGCAAGCGUUAUCCGGAAUUAUUGGGCGUAAAGAGCGUGUAGGCGGCUUGGUAGGUCCGCUGUGAAAACUCGAGGCUCAACCUCGAGAUGUCGGCGGAAACCACUUGGCUAGAGUCCGGAAGAGGCGAGUGGAAUUCCGUGGAUGUAGCGGUGGAAUGCGCAGAUAUCAGGAGGAACACCAACGGCGAAGGCAGCUCGCUGGGACGGUACUGACGCUGAGGCGCGAAAGCGUGGGGAGCGAACAGG